rnacentral:misc_RNA from 1 species
AAAAAAAAUUUUAAAAAAAAAUGCAUAAGACCAGCCCUAAAUCCCUAUUCACAUAUGCUAUUUCUUGUAUCAGUAUUGCAUCUAGCUUGCUCCACUGGAAUUAGUUCAAAAUUCACCUCUUAAAGACUACUAGUCCAAUCGGAUAUUCUAAUUUUUUAGCCUUUAAAAAUCACCUAUGAGACAAUUUCUACAGUACCAUACAUUAGUCUUUGAGAGUUUAUAGAAACCGUUAGCAUUUACAUCUGAAAAGCACAAUACAAACAAGGCAACAACCACAUUGGGACCAAAAGUGUUGGUUAUCCAAUUACACUAACAGCAAUGAAAAUAAGAAAAGACUACAUUUAA